rnacentral:rRNA from 1 species
AAAAGUCGUAACAAGGUCUCCGUUGGUGAACCAGCGGAGGGAUCAUUACAGGGUCUGCGACUGCCCCAAAACCAACCGUGAACGUUACUACCCUCCCAGACUGCGGCGGGCGGCUCGCUGGAGGAGCCGACCAAAGCCCGCCGGAGUCGCUGCUGAAGCUGUUGCGCCCCGAUGUUCUUCAGGCUCGAUAGCAGUCCCCAACCCCAGCGGUGGGGCGAUAAUCCAGUCACAACCCAUAACAAUGGAUCUCUUGGCUCCGGCAUCGAUGAAGAACGCAGCGAAAUGCGAUACGUAGUACGAAUUGCAGCUCUAGUGAAUCAUCGAAUCUUUGAACGCAUAUUGCGCCCCGCGGUAUUCCGCGGGGCACGUCCGACCGAGCGCCGCUGCUCCGCUCGGGAGGCCUUCUGCUCGAAGGCGCUCCCGGUGUUGGGGGCUGCUUCCGGAUCCGAAAGCGCCCCCGAAAACCAGCGGCGGCCCCCGAGGCUCCCAGGCGAAGUCACCGCACAGCGCCUAGGGUCGGCUCGCGGGGGCCCGCCUCCCAACCACUCCUAAAAGAGUUGGCCUCGGGUCGGACGAGGCUACCCGCUGAACUUAAGCAUAUCAAU